rnacentral:lncRNA from 1 species
CCAAAGAAUUCCCUUUUCUUUAUAAAUGACCCAGCCUCAGCUGGGAAAGCGGAAAUCUGGAGAACUAAAAUAUCUUGCUGAAGAUCACAAUGCAGUAAAGCAUAGGGCAAGUUUCCAACUCGAACAUCACCCCAGAACACUUCCUUUUAAACAUAAAUUAUGUUGCUAACUUUUUUAUUGUUACUUAGCAGGCAGAUUUCAAACUGAUACAAAUGUUGAAAAUGAUACAAAAUGUUUUCCCACCUUAAAGGCAUUCUGAAACCUAGCACAUAACAUCUGUCACUGAAGUCCAUAGUUUCCAAUGCCAUGAUUGGAUAAAGACCCUAUUGAGACUCAUGUGUUUGUCUCUCACUGCUUAAAACACUCAUGUGUUUUAAGCAACAUGACAAGCACAAAAGAGAACAAGUACUGCUCCUGCUCUCCAGGAAGUUACCAUAAAAUAAAGGGGAUAAGGUGCCUUCCAAAGAAAAAACAAAUACUAGGAGAGGUCAGAGGAGAAGAGAGAUUAUUCCAGAAGGAGAGACUGAGGCAGAUUUCAGGAGGGAAGAAUAUAAGAGUCCCAAAAGAAGAAACAGGAACCCAGGUUAGAGAGCAAUGGGCAAGGGGUAGGAGGUGAGACUAAACUCACAAGGAAGUUGCUUCAAAACAAUAGUGCCCCAAAUGCCAAGCUGAUGGGUUGGACCCAUUUAGGAAAAACCCACAAAGUCCACAGGAGAGCAGACUGCACUUCCAUGAGCUUCAAGCUGUAAACAGUAACCUCAAAUAAAACUUUUCCCGGAUCGGUAAUUUCCAUCCUGAACAAUGGCCAAGUCAAGGAAGCUGAGGAUCGAGCCCCCUACCGCAUGCCACAAAGAACCUCAAGGGACCCCAUGCUCUGGGGAGCUCGCAGGAGGACCAGCACAGAGGUGUGACUGCGUUGGGGCAGGGUGGCCACAUGUACAAUGUUGUACCUUCCAAUGUUCCUCCUUAGGCUGUGCUUAUGAAGUCCCAACAUGUCUUCUGGGCUGUGUUUUCAACCAAGAGAGUUAAUAAAAAGUGGGAUGGGCACCAACUAUGCCUCCAGAGACAUCAGGCAGAAUAUGCCACAGCGUGCCAUGUCCUCCUGCAAACAGUCAGAAAGAAAAGAUCUCUAAAAGCAGAUUGGAAGAGACUAUAUAUACAGAGCGAGUGCCGGUACAGAAGUUUUGCUGCAAAUACACCCUCUAAUCCCUUGCAACCCACUGCAAGCUCGAGAGACCAGUGCCCUUGGUAAAACAUAGGAGAGAUCAUUAAUUAAAGCCUAGGCCCUUUCUUUGAUCCUGAGGGAUAAGGCUUGGGAAAAUGCACAGUGAUAAAAGUGAACAUUUUAAAAGAGCAGAGUGAGUGUGAAUUCCCAAAGAGACCAUUCAUAUCAAGACCCAAGCCAUGAGAAAAUGCUACAAUGCCCUUGAUCAAUACUUUAUAGGCAUUUUGACCUCAGAUCUAAUCCCAUGAGGCUUAGACCAAGACCUUGCUUGAUGCAGACCUCUCUGACUGCUGAAAUUGGUCAGGAGCUCAGUGAUGAAAAUUUGGAAAGUCAAUGCUGAUACCUGAAGAAAGUCCCAUCAGAGAUCUGUGACCUGAAUCUUCAUAACUUUCACAGGCCCUUUCUAAAUGCCAAGGAGGAUGUGUGUGGAGAAGAAUAUGCCACCUAUGGCAUCCCAAUAUGCCUGUGCCCGCCUGCUCUUCAACAAGGGAAUGAAACCUGGGUAUUCUCAUAGGUUUUUUAAAGCACUUGUCCACAUAUUUUAUUCCGCAAAUAACACAAUUUAAAAUUCAGCUAGAAUUUGCCAUUUUCUGUCAGGGUUGUGCAUUUCUUCCAGUCACCAUGACUUCCUGAGAUAGCCAAAACACAAAAUUUAAAUUGUGUUUAAAUUAAAUAAACACAAUUUAUGCUGAAGCUGACUUUACCCACUCUGUUCCAACAUUACUUAUCCUCAGCAUCUCUGAAUUCAAAUAUCAGCCAGGUGUGGUGGCUCAUACCUGUAAGCCCAGCACUUUGGCAAGCCAAGAUGGGAAGGUUGCUUGAGGAGUUGGAGACCAGCCUGGGCAACAUAGCAAGACCCCCAUCUCUACAAAAAAAUUAAAAAAUUAGCCAGGCAUGGUGGUAUGCACCUUUAGUCCUAGCUACUUGGGAGGCUGAGGUGAGAAGAUCACUUGAGCCCAGGAGCUUGAGGUGGCAGUGAGUCAUGAUCAUACCACUGCACUGUAGCCUGAGCAACAGAGCAAGACCCCAUCCCUUAAAAAAAAUACCUGCCCUCUGUACUUCAUAGCACCUGGGGCAUUUUGAACAGUUCUUCCUUCACCUGAGGUCAUUAUUUGAGAAUCCAAUUUUAGAGACUACAAUGCUCUCAUUACUUGGAUUGUAUCAUUUAAUCUUCCCAACAAUCCAGGAAGGGGAGUCUCUUAAUGAUUGUCCUUGAUUUCCAGUUAAAAAAUCUAGACCCAGAGGUAACCUUGUGAAGGUCACAGAGUUUCAGAGUUCUAAGAUCCCAUGCGAGAUUGCUGAACUUGAACUUGUUUCUUCUGAUCUCAUGUCAAUAAGUGACUUAGUCAACACCUGGGUAGAAAUCAUCACUAAAGUGAGAAAGCACAUGGUGAGGGGGAUGAAUCCUGUGCCCACAUGGUCCCUUUCACCUGCCCAAUCCUCAGGCCUCUCACCUGGGGUACCCCUCACACACAUGGCACUUUCCUGAACUCAUGGACAUUUCAGUUUGUAACGAUCCUCCUAAGAUUAUCUACUUUCACCUAUCCACAUUUGAACUAUACUUCUUUAGUGGAAAAAAAGAAAUAAAGCCAGUGCUGAGAAUGAUCAAACUCCAGAAAUAGUAGACUGCUGUAUAAUUUGUCUUGCGUGACACCAGAUCUUUCAAGGAACUGCAAGCUCAAGUGCACAGUUAAGCAAGAUCAAGAUCUACCUUUGUCUUUCAGAGCCUUCCCUUGGCGAGGUCAAGGAUAUCUGCUGUGAGCCUGGGCUGGCUGAACCAAAGGGCAAUGGAGGCGGCCAAGAAGCCCCAGCCAACUGCUCCCCUCCCCAACCCCCUUCUCCCUGGAGGUCCCUUCAGCUAGAAUUUGCCAUUUUCUGUCAGGGUUGUGCAUUUCUUCCAGUCACCAUGACUUCCUGAGAUAGCCAAAAGCAUUUGCUGUGAGCAGAGCCCCAUGGCUGGCUUUGCACAUCAAACAUUUCAGACAGCCAUAUAUUUCAUAGAAUACAAGGGGAAGAUAACACUGGACACACAGAACUUUCCAACAGCUUGAGAAAAUGUGGUGCCUGGUGACUGACUAAAUAUACAAUCGGACAACAGCCAGGCCAUAGCAAAAGAUGGAACUCUGAUCCACAAGGUGCAGCAACUUUCCCAGAAAACAAUACCCUUACCCACAAAAAGCAACCCCGGAAGCUGGCCUGCUCUAAAUCAGACCUGCUGGAAGCCAAAUUGCUCUCUAGUAACUAUCCAGGAAGCUAAAUAAUAACUUCUGUAACAAUUGACUCAAAAUGUUCAGGACUGGAUUAAUAACUGAUGGCUUCCCUAAUUUUUGUCCCCGAUUCCAACUUAGGACCCACCAGAGAAAGCCAAAUAUGGUCCCCUGACCAAGCACACAGGAUGUUCGCUUCUAGUGAGCCGCCUCCAGCUUCCCCGCAUUGAUAACCUCCAAUCAGGGCACACCUGAAGCCUUCGCCUUUUUCCACUAUAAAGCUCUCCCACUCGUCUGCCCACCUUUGAGUCUCUGCCAAAUUGCAAAUGAUGGUGUCUGACUCCCUUGCUGUAGCAAGCUCUGCAUAAUAGCUUGUGCUUAUUCUCUUUGGGUAGGUCUUCAUUUCUUUUCACACCAGAUAGGCAUCAUCUUUGAAAACAUCUUUACUGGGUCUCUUGUCUCCCUCCUGCAGCCACUGAUCUAAAUCACAGACUUUUUUAGAAAGAGGGAAAAUAGUAAAGAAAGAAAGCGAUUGAGUUGAUGCUCCCAGCCACUGUCUGUACCCUGAAUUUUGUUUUUCUGCCAUAUGUCAGGUGGCCUCUCCUGGACCAUCGUCACUGUUUCUCCUGCUUCCCUGCAGCUGCAGACACAGGAGCACUGUGUAGGUCUGGCCUUGAGCACCCACCCACCCAGUACAGAGCCAGCCCCUGCUGUUCUGAAUCAGUGCAGUGACCACUUAGAACACAGUGCCCAUGCCUCUGUGAUCUGAACUGCUCUUUCCAGUUCCAUACAAUGUUAAGAACCCACUUAAGAAUGUUUUAAUCAUUCAGUAGUUUUUCGUGGUAUAUAAUAAAAAAGUGAUUUAAAUACAAUCUAUUUUAUUUUAGAUUAUAUCAUUAGGGGUUAUUUUACAAAGUUACCUUUAAAUACUAUUGUAAAUAAAAUUAAUAACAAAUAAGCAAAAUUCUUACUUUUCCUUGUUUGACAAUUGACAUGGUCAAUUUAAUUUCCUUUAAAUUAAUUAUGCAAGAAAAGGAUAUUUCCUCAAGAAAAUUUAAAAUGAUAUAUAUUUCUUGGUUGGGUGCCAAAUAUUCAUUCAGAAGAAGACGGAAAUUUAAAUCCUUGUUUCUAAUUUAAGGAAAAAACUACUUUCAUUAUUGGAUGUGUGAAAUUCACCCAUUUUGUGUUUAUCUAGAAAAUCUAGUUUAUUGUCCAAAUGUUCUUAUUUUCCCCAAAAGCAUCAGUUAGGAGAGAAGAUUUCCAGCUGCCAUUAAAAUACAAUUGUGUGCAAUGAAUA